rnacentral:rRNA from 1 species
UACGUAGGGUGCAAGCGUUGUCCGGAAUUAUUGGGCGUAAAGAGCUCGUAGGCGGUUUGUCGCGUCUGGUGUGAAAAUCCAGGGCUUAACCCUGGACCUGCAUCGGGUACGGGCAGACUAGAGUGCGGUAGGGGAGAUCGGAAUUCCUGGUGUAGCGGUGAAAUGCGCAGAUAUCAGGAGGAACACCGGUGGCGAAGGCGGGUCUCUGGGCCGAUAUCGACGCUGAGGAGCGAAAGCGUGGGGAGCGAACAGG